AUAUAUAUUCUUAAAAGAUUUGUUGUAAAUUACUCUGUAGAUCUGUGAUGAAAGUGGAUUACGAGCUUUGUCGGGAAAGAGUGACAGAAGUGAUACACUUUCAACGGUACGUCUUCUUUUGUUUUGUUUUGUUUUUGUUGAUUUGAGAUUUUUAAUUCGCAUAAAAUCUGUCAAGUAGGUUAGAGAAAAAUUAAUUAGAUAAAAGACUUUUUUUGAUUAGAUAAAAAUUCAUGUCUUUCAAAUGUUAAAUUCAUUAGUGAUUCACAUAUGGGAGAACAAUCUCAACGUAACUUUAUUAACCAAUAUAUAAAAGUCAAUACAUAUCUAUGCAUAAACGGGAUUUUCAUACAAAAUCUAAAAACCUUAAAAAUAUCUUAAAACAAUGAAUGAAAUUUAUUCCAUGAGCAAUGAAUGAAGAUGGUCCAUUGGUUGUGCAUACAUGAUUUAGUUUUUCAGGAGCCACAUGGAUUGUAUGUCACUAUGUAUAGCACUCCACCUCUAGACGCAAAUGAAAGGAUUUCUCCUAUCAUCUCGUCUACUGCACGAGUCACGAGACAUUAAACUAUGACAGUUGAAUCGAAGAAGAUGAAUUUUAGAAAGUGAACUUCCAAAAAUUUUAGAAGAGUACUAUACACAUUUAAUUCAUUAUUUCUAGGUUCAUGUCCCUAAAUGCUUAGGAUUAUAA
rnacentral:sRNA from 1 species